GAUGAAGAACGUAGCGAAAUGCGAUAAGUAAUGUGAAUUGCAGAAUUCAGUGAAUCAUCGAAUCUUUGAACGCACCUUGCGCCUUUUGGUAUUCCGAAAGGCACACCUGUUUGAGCGUCAUGAAUACCUCAAUCUCCAUCUUUUCUUCGGAUUGAUGGGUGACUUGGAUGUUGAGCCCUGCUGGUAUGCUAUAUCAGCUGGCUUUAAACUUAUUAGCCGGCUCUGUACUGGAUCGGUUUGACUCGACGUGAUAAUAUUAUCGUUGAGGAUGCAUGUCUCAUGCAGCCGGAAAGUAUCAAAGUAGCUUCUAGCUUGCCUUUAGUGCACUUUUACAUUUUAGACCUCAGAUCAGGUGGGACUACCCGCUGAACUUAAGCAUAUCAAUAAGCGGAGGA
rnacentral:misc_RNA from 1 species